GCAGAACCACCUGACUGGCUAAGGAAGGCAGGUGGCUUGUUCUUAAGCCCAGCAGCUGCAGAGGAUCAGUAGCUGAAUGAUGCACAUGCUCAUGGAUCCUUUGCCUGCUUGUGCUGGCUUCAUUUCAAGCACUGCUCUUGUCUAGACCCUGUCCUGCACACAGUCUUGUUCCAGUCCUGUCCCAGCCUUGCUCCUGCCUGGGAACCAGCCCUGCUCCUGCCUCCUUGAUUUCAGGGGCAGAUUUGAGGAAAAAAUGCAUUGCUGAGCGGCUUCAGGCUGUCUGUGAAUCUGGUGGCCAGAUGGGUGCUUCAUGUCCUCCGGUGUCUUCUUUGGAGCUAAUAUCUUGGCCUUGGAAAUACUCCAGACCACCUCUCUGCUUCUAUCAGCUCUAUAGUUGAUGCUUUCCUCCCACCCGCCUUUGAGUACUACCCUUACACUGCUGUGAUUACGUGGACCUGGCAAAUGCCACAAUGAUCUAAGAAUGUGACACAUCCAGGAUUCCGUGCUGAGGAACUGGAAGCGUUUACUAUUUGGAAAGCAUUGCAUGCAAUACAGAAUUGUACAGAAACAUCAGAGGUGUUUCAACCCAGAUAUUUCUGAAGAAAGUGUUGUCUUGAAGGAUGUGCCGAGGAUUUUUCAUUCAAUAUAAAUCUUGCAGUGAGAUUUAAUUAAAGGGAAUUAAAUGUGUUAUGCCAUUUACUAAACAGAAACUUUACUUAUGCAGAUAUUGUUUGCGUAUGUGUCAAAAGCAAGUACUAAAAGGGCUACUGCGCUAAAAAAAAGUUGAGAUAACAGCAGUAACAAUUUCCUAACCUGGUUACAAGUUAAUCACAAACCUGAGGCUUACUGUGUGUAAGAUUCACUAUUAUCUGGCCCCGAAAUAGCACAAGAAUUUCUCUGUGCCCAUAUGAUACGCACAGGGUAUCACUUUUGAUAAUGCCAGCCAAAAGCCCAAGCACGAUUUUACAGCCUUACAUUUAGAGCAAAUGGGUAAGAGACUGAAAAUUCCUGAAUGUAUGUCAAAUACAGCAAAUUAUUUACUUUUUAGACAUUUUAAAAAUGUGAUCAGAUACGCCACAAUGAAAGAUGAACUUACAAAGAAAUUUAGAUCAGAGGCCAAAUUGACCACUGGUAUAAACAACAACGUUUCACUCACCAGAGAGAGUGCCUUGGAAUUACAACUUGGAAGCAAAUAUUCUGUUUCAGAAUCCUAACAUACUGUCUCUUGGUUUCUAUUCUUCUCAUUUCUCCUCCAUCAUUCCUGUUUCUUUCCUUCCAUAUCCUGUUAAUUUUCCCUGAGAUUUAUUUUUUUUUUUUUUGUAAUAAAUUCCCUCUUGCUCUCUCUCUCUCCUCUCCCUCCCCACCUCUCUCCUGGCUCUUCUAAGGUAUUUUUCUUUUCUAAGCCUGCUUUUUUUUUUUUUUUUUUUAAAGCUUAUUUCCCCCUUGCAUGGCUAUUUGCUGGCACUCUUAAUGCUCUUGGCUGUGACCUGAAGACAUGGGCCUCCUGGAGACAAGUCAGGUUCUGCUGAUAUAGGUGCUGUCUCUUUAUUGGUGGAGGUACAUUGCAAGGCAAUGAGGUAGACUCCUGUGCACUUAAGCCAUGCUGUUGCUUACCCUGUUUUUUCUCACAGGGUAAGCAACAGCGUGGCUUAAGUGCACAGGAGUCUCACCUCUACUACUUCCUGUGGCCUCUCUUGUUUCACUGCCAAUUUAUGCCCCCACAUAUUAGGACACUGGUAAAGUAAGGUGUUAGCUAGGAGGAGGAGCUACUAGCUGCUGCUAACUUCCUUGGGAAUUUCACAUGAGCACUUUCCUGCUAUUCCAGUUUACUGUUCUCCAAAUGUCUGGAGGAUUAGUAAACUCCAGCCCAGCAUCUUCACUUAUCUGAGAAUAAAAGUAGGUCAUCCCCAGAGGAAC